AAAGUCGUAACAAGGUCUCCGUUGGUGAACCAGCGGAGGGAUCAUUACCGAGUUUUCAACUCCCAAACCCACUGUGAACAUAUACCAUUGUUUAUUCGUUGCCUCGGCGGGUUCUAUCCCUGGAAACAGGGCAAGCCCCCGCCGGGUGACACCAAAACCCUGAAUGUGUUUAGUUACACAGCAGUAUUACUCUGAGUCACAUCAUUUUAAAUGAAUCAAAACUUUCAACAACGGAUCUCUUGGUUCUG
rnacentral:misc_RNA from 1 species